rnacentral:rRNA from 1 species
AUACGGAGGGGGCUAGCGUUAUUCGGAAUUACUGGGCGUAAAGAGUUCGUAGGCGGACUGGAAAGUUAGAGGUGAAAGCCCAGGGCUCAACCCUGGAACGGCCUUUAAAACUUCCAGUCUAGAGACAGGUAGAGGUAAGGGGAAUACUUAGUGUAGAGGUGAAAUUCGUAGAUAUUAAGUGGAACACCAGUGGCGAAGGCGCCUUACUGGAUCUGUACUGACGCUGAGGAACGAAAGCGUGGGGAGCGAACGGGAUUAGAAACCCUAGUAGUCC